rnacentral:rRNA from 1 species
AUUGAACGCUGGCGGCAGGCUUAACACAUGCAAGUCGAGCGGGGGAGGUUGCUUCGGUAACUGACCUAGCGGCGGACGGGUGAGUAAUGCUUAGGAAUCUGCCUAUUAGUGGGGGACAACAUGCCGAAAGGGAUGCUAAUACCGCAUACGCCCUACGGGGGCAAGCAGGGGAUCUUCGGAGCUUGCGCUAAUAGAUGAGCCUAAGUCGGAUUAGCUAGUUGGUGGGGUAAAGGCCUACCAAGGCGACGAUCUGUAGCGGGUCUGAGAGGAUGAUCCGCCACACUGGGACUGAGACACGGCCCAGACUCCUACGGGAGGCAGCAGUGGGGAAUAUUGGACAAUGGGCGGAAGCCUGAUCCAGCCAUGCCGCGUGUGUGAAGAAGGCCUUUUGGUUGUAAAGCACUUUAAGCGAGGAGGAGGCUACUAGUACUAAUACUACUGGAUAGUGGACGUUACUCGCAGAAUAAGCACCAGCUAACUCUGUGCCAGCCGCCGCGGUAACAC